AGCGUCCUAUUUCAAGAGAUCAAAAGCGAGAAGAGGCUGCCAAGCAGUUCAGAGAAUGGAGGAAAUGCCCCAGCAAACCUCAUUCCCCGGAAACCAAGAUUCCAGUGGUUGCCUGGUGUCCACAGUCAACAUCUGGGAGAGGCUGGCUAGCUCAUUCCAUCCCCCAGCAGAGGCAGUGUGGAUGUGUUGACUUCUCCCAAAAGUCUAUUCUCUGCAAAGGAAAUAAAACAGUCUUCAAAGA
rnacentral:lncRNA from 1 species